rnacentral:lncRNA from 1 species
NNNNNNCCCUGCACACCUGCUCCCUGCAACCCUGCUCCCUGCACCCUGCACACCUGCUCCGUGCACACCUUCACACCUGCUCCCUGCAACCCUGCUCCCUGCACCCUGCACACCUGCUCCCUGCACACCUGCUCCCUGCACCCUGCACACCUGCUCCCUGCACACCUGCUCCCUGCACACCUGCUCCCUGCAACCCUGCUCCCUGCACCCUGCACACCUGCUCCCUGCACACCUGCUCCCUGCACCCUGCUCCCUGCACACCUGCUCCCUGCACACCUGCACCCUGCACACCUGCACCCUGCACACCUGCUCCCUGCAACCCUGCACACCUGCUCCCUGCAUACCUGCUCCCUGCACACCUGCUCCCUGCAACCCUGCUCCCUGCACACCUGCACACCUGCACCCUGCACACCUGCUCCCUGUACACCUGCUCCCUGCACACCUGCAUCCUGCUCCCUGCACCCUGCACACCUGCUCCCUGCACACCUGCUGUCUGCACACCUGCUGUCUGCACACCCUGCACACCUGCUCUCUGCACACCCUGAACCCUGCUCCCUGCACACCCUGCUUCCUGCACGUGCUGUUUCCCACAACGCUGUUCCUUGGAGGUGCUGUUCCCUUUGGGUCUGACCAUUUCCCUCAAGUCCCCAUCUCAUGCGCCCAGGGCUCAUCACCACUCCUGAAAUCCGCUGUGAACAUAGCCGGUGUCCUCUCUGCGGUCCUGGCUAGUGAGAGCUGCCGCAGGCUGGGCAGCUCCACCACAGGCAUUUAUUUCCCACAGCCCUGGAGGCCGGGAGUCCGACAGAAACAGAAAGGUGCCUGGCGAGGGCCCUGCCCAGGGACAGCUGCUUUCCUGCUGCGUCCUCACAGGCGGGGUGGGAGGGGAGGGGGAGCUACUCUCUGUGCCUUCUGAUGAGGACAGCAGCCCCGUGAGGAGGGCCCACCCUCCCGCCCUUCCAGCCUCAUUACCCCAGGCACCCCAGGGUCACUCUCCUAACGCCAGCACCCUGGAAUUCGGGGCUUCAGCUCACGAGUUCUGGAGAAAGGCAAAAAAUGAUGCCUGGGUGGUAACAGCAGCAGCUGCCACAGCCCCCCAGAGUCUGGGCCCCCUCCUCUCUCUCCCCAGCAGGGCCCCAUAGCCCCUCAGUGUCUGGGCCCCCUUCUCUUCUCUCCCCUGCAGGACCCCACAGCCAGGGUUGGGGAGGAGGCCCCCUUGGGGCUGGGGGCAGGAGCUGGACAC